GCCAUCGCUCAACGGAUAAAAGGUACUCCGGGGAUAACAGGCUUAUCACGCCCAAGAGUUCACAUCGACGGCGUGGUUUGGCACCUCGAUGUCGGCUCAGCACAUCCGGGGGCUGACGUCGGUCCCAAGGGUAUGGCUGUUCGCCAUUUAAAGUGGGACCCGAGCUGGGUUGAGAACUGCGUGAGACAGUCCGGUCCCUAUCUGCCGUGGGCGUUGGAUGCUUGACGCGGGCUGCUCCUCGUACGCGAGGACCGGAGUGGACGAACCUCUGGUGCUCGGGUUGUCACGCCAGUGGCAUUGCCCGGUAGCUAAGUUCGGAAUCGAUAAACGCUGAAAGCAUCUAAGCGUGAAGCGAGCCCUGAGAUGAGUCAUCCCUGAUACUUUAAGUAUCCUAAAGGGUUGUUGGAGACUACGACGUAGAUAGGUCAGGUGUGUAAGUGCUGCGAGGCAUUGAGCUAACUGAUACUAAUUGCCCGUGAGGCUUAACCAUACAACACCCAAGGGGUUU
rnacentral:rRNA from 1 species